rnacentral:rRNA from 1 species
CCUACGGGUGGCAGCAGUGAGGAAUAUUGGUCAAUGGACGAGAGUCUGAACCAGCCAAGUAGCGUGAAGGAUGACUGCCCUAUGGGUUGUAAACUUCUUUUAUAUGGGAAUAAAAUGUUCCACGUGUGGGAUUUUGUAUGUACCAUAUGAAUAAGGAUCGACUAACUCCGUGCCAGCAGCCGCGGUAAUACGGAGGAUCCGAGCGUUAUCCGGAUUUAUUGGGUUUAAAGGGAGCGUAGGUGGAUUGUUAAGUCAGUUGUGAAAGUUUGCGGCUCAACCGUAAAAUUGCAGUUGAUACUGGCAGUCUUGAGUACAGUAGAGGUGGGCGGAAUUCGUGGUGUAGCGGUGAAAUGCUUAGAUAUCACGAAGAACUCCGAUUGCGAAGGCAGUUCACUGGACUGCAACUGACACUGAGGCUCGAAAGUGUGGGUAUCAAACAGGAUUAGAUACCCGUGUAGUC